CAGUCGCCACGGUAAUACGAAGGGGGCUAGCGUUGUUCGGAAUUACUGGGCGUAAAGGGCGCGUAGGCGGCCAUUCAAGUUAGAUGUGAAAGCCCUGGGCUCAACCUAGGAAUUGCAUUUGAUACUGUUUGGCUUGAGUUCGGGAGAGGUGAGUGGAAUUCCCAGUGUAGAGGUGAAAUUCGUAGAUAUUGGGAAGAACACCAGUGGCGAAGGCGGCUCACUGGACCGACACUGACGCUGAGGCGCGAAAGCGUGGGGAGCAAACAGGAUUAGAUACCCCCGUAGUCCCUGUCUCUUAUAC
rnacentral:rRNA from 1 species